rnacentral:rRNA from 1 species
AUUGAACGCUGGCGGCAGGCCUAACACAUGCAAGUCGAGCGGAUGAAGGGAGCUUGCUCAUGGAUUCAGCGGCGGACGGGUGAGUAAUGCCUAGGAAUCUGCCUGGUAGUGGGGGAUAACGUCCGGAAACGGGCGCUAAUACCGCAUACGUCCUGAGGGAGAAAGUGGGGGAUCUUCGGACCUCACGCUAUCAGAUGAGCCUAGGUCGGAUUAGCUCGUUGGUGGGGUAAAGGCCUACCAAGGCGACGAUCCGUAACUGGUCUGAGAGGAUGAUCAGUCACACUGGAACUGAGACACGGUCCACACUCCUACGAGAGGCAGCAGUGGGGAAUAUUGGACAAUGGGCGAAAGCCUGAUCCAGCCAUGCCGCGUGUGUGAAGAAGGUCUUCGGAUUGUAAAGCACUUUAAGUUGGGAGGAAGGGCAGUAAGUUAAAACCUUGCUGUUUUGACGUUACCAACAGAAUAAGCCCCGGCUAACUUCGUG